UAAGUGUAAAUCAUAUUGAACCGAUGACGCCUCUUAGGGGUAUGGACGUUAACACUUAUAAAAGAAAAACUUAUAAAAUUUAAAAAUUUAACACUUAUAAAAAU
rnacentral:sRNA from 1 species